rnacentral:rRNA from 1 species
UACGUAGGGGGCGAGCGUUGUCCGGAUUUAUUGGGCGUAAAGAGCUCGUAGGCGGCUUGGCAAGUCGGGUGUGAAAACUCCAGGCUCAACCUGGAGAUGCCACUCGAGACUGCUAUGGCUAGAGUCCGGUAGGGGACCACGGAAUUCCUGGUGUAGCGGUGAAAUGCGCAGAUAUCAGGAGGAACACCGGUGGCGAAGGCGGUGGUCUGGGCCGGCACUGACGCUGGAGGAGCGAAAGCUAGGGGAGCAAACGGG